rnacentral:rRNA from 1 species
GUGGGGAAUAUUGGACAAUGGGCGAAAGCCUGAUCCAGCCAUGCCGCGUGUGUGAAGAAGGUCUUCGGAUUGUAAAGCACUUUAAGUUGGGAGGAAGGGCAGUAAGUUAAUACCUUGCUGUUUUGACGUUACCGACAGAAUAAGCACCGGCUAACUUCGUGCCAGCAGCCGCGGUAAUACGAAGGGUGCAAGCGUUAAUCGGAAUUACUGGGCGUAAAGCGCGCGUAGGUGGUUUUGUAAGUUGGAGGUGAAAUCCCCGGGCUCAACCUGGGAACUGCCUCCAAAACUGCAUGACUAGAGUACGGUAGAGGGUAGUGGAAUUUCCUGUGUAGCGGUGAAAUGCGUAGAUAUAGGAAGGAACACCAGUGGCGAAGGCGACUACCUGGACUGAUACUGACACUGAGGUGCGAAAGCGUGGGGAGAAAACAGGAUUAGAAACCCGAGUAGUCC